UCUAGAGUAUAAGUCUCCCUCUAAAUAAUCUGACAGAAUUACCUUAACGUAAUUUUUUUUUCAAAGUAACAAUACAAUGAAUAGGAUCAAAAAAGACUAAUUUGGGCCCACCGACUUCACAAUGUUUCCUUAAAACUAACUUGCUACCUUUAAUGGUGCUAAUGGCAUAUAGCAAUCGUUUUUCAGGAUAGAAUGAAUUUACUCUCCUACGGAAGCAGCACAUCAAUCUGUAGAAGUUCCAACGAACGCAACGACAUUUCUUUACUUCGAAAGUAAUAUCAAAAUGAGAGAGAGAAGAAGAAUAAGAUUCAAAGCAAAAAAUGUUUGCAAUGAAAAUGGUAUAAUUUUUCUGGCAGAGGGGUGGGCUAUUUAUAUACUUGUUUGUGGCCAUUCAAUCCUCCAUCAGAACAAUCGUCACUGUUCAGACAACCUUCAAAACUCGAACAGAUAGCUUAGUUCAAUACUGUAUUAGUUAAGUCAAGUAACAGUCGACUGUUUGGUCAGUUAACAGACUAUCCAGACUAAAAAAUUGGACUCGAACACGUGCACGUACCAUGCCGAGCUGAGUCGGGUGGCGACGAGAGGGUGUGGGUUUAUGACCGAACCUCCCCCUUCACCCUUCCAAAGACUAUUGGCAACCCUUGAGGCUCAAACUCAAUUCCCAAACUUUCACCAUAUAAGUCACACCAAAGUUUCAUAACAUUCCUAUGUGGGAUAAGUGUUUGGCAAAUCAAAUUCUGUACUAAUUCAUAGUUUCAAGUUGGUUACUUUGACUUUUCAAUAAAUAAAUAUAUCACGUUAAUCCUCAUGGAGUAGAACAUGAAUAUGCUAGAUCCCGUUAAUAUUGAAGUAUGGUCCCACUGAAUUUUGGGCUCAAAUUUGACCCAUUUCAAUAACCAUUUUCCCACACAGUCUUCAUGUUAGAAAAUUGUUUAACCCUAUUUGACAAUCUUUAUUUGAAAAAAAAAAUUCUAAAUAGUCAUUUUAACCAAACAUUUACACAAGGAUUAAUAGCAAACAAUGCCGUAGAAAUGUUUUCAUUUGUGAUAUACCCCUACCUAUUGGGUAAAAGAAAAAAGCAGCUGGCAGAGAAAAUUUGAAUCUGGACCAAAGUAUUGCCUGAAUAUGCAUAUAAUAAACGAAAAAGAUGAAACAAAUAGAGUUAGGAUAGCUCCAGCUGACCAAAAAAUAACAAAGGAACAUAAAAACUUUUGAAAAAUGAUGUACAACUUUGAAGCAUGAAUAUGAAAAACUUUUGAGUAAAAUGUGGAUCUCGUAGUGCACCUGGUAGCAUCUUGGCAACACUGCCAGAAUCAAAAAAUGGUUUUUUGGUUUUAAAAUUUUUUGUGAAGAAGAAUUCCUUUUAAUUUUGGCAUUUAUUUUUACUAUUUUUAACGGCAAUUUGACGAACGUUGACUGCAGAUGGAUUUUUUGCACAAAAGGUUUUAAACAAGGGGUUUUUUGUGAUUUUCAAUAGAUAGGGAAUAUAUCGCAAACGAAAACACUUCUAGGGGUUUUUUUUGCUAUUAAUCCUUUACACAAUAAAAUAUUCUACAUAAAUUCAAAACUUUUCCAUACCUUUUAACCAUAUAUUCUCCUAAAUGUUACUAUUCAAAGCAUUGUUUUCUAAAAUAAUAGUUUUGUCAAAUCGGGGCUUACUCUAUCUCAUGCUGCUUCAUAUUCGACAACUAGUGAUCUAUAAGCUUAGAGAAAGUCAGGGAAGUAAGUUAUAUUUUUUUUAC
rnacentral:lncRNA from 1 species